UACGUAGGGGGGUAGCGUUGUCCGGAUUUAUUGGGCGCAAAGAGCUCGUAGGCGGUUUGGCAAGUCGGGUGUGAAAUCUCCACGCUUAACGUGGAGCGGUCAUUCGAUACUGCCAUGACUAGAGUACGGUAGGGGAGUGUGGAAUUCCCGGUGUAGCGGUGAAAUGCGCAGAGAUCGGGAGGAACACCCGUAGCGAAGGCGGCACUCUGGGCCGGUACUGACGAUGAGGAGCGAAAGCGUGGGGAGCAGACAGG
rnacentral:rRNA from 1 species